rnacentral:rRNA from 1 species
CCUACGGGUGGCAGCAGUGAGGAAUAUUGGUCAAUGGGCGCGAGCCUGAACCAGCCAAGCCGCGUGAGGGAAGACGGUCCUCUGGAUUGUAAACCUCUUUUGCCGGGGCGCAAAAGACGCCACGCGUGGCGUUCCGAGAGUACCCGAAGAAAAUGCAUCGGCUAACUCUGUGCCAGCAGCCGCGGUAAUACGGAGGAUUCAAGCGUUAUCCGGAUGUAUUGGGUUUAAAGGGAGCGUAGGCGGUCGGAUAAGUCAGAGGUGAAAUCCCGGGGCUCAACUUCGGAAUUGCUUCUGAUACUGUUCGGCUAGAGAGUAGUUGCGGUAGGCGGAAUGUAUGGUGUAGCGGUGAAAUGCGUAGAGAUCAGACAGAACACCGAUGGCGAAGGCAGCUUGCCAGGCUACUUCUGACGUUGAGGCACGAAAGCGUGGGGAACAAACAGGAUUAGAUACCCCAGUAGUC